rfam:Nicotiana attenuata strain TT chromosome 1, whole genome shotgun sequence.
GUCCCUUCGGGGACAUCCGAUUGGAACAAUACAGAGAGAAGAUUAGCAUGCCCCCUGCGCAUAGAUGACACGCACAAAUCGAGACAUGGUCCUUGAUAAA